rnacentral:rRNA from 1 species
AGAGUUUGAUCCUGGCUCAGAACGAACGCUGGCGGCGCGCCUAACACAUGCAAGUCGAACGCGAAAGGGGGCAACCCUGAGUAAAGUGGCGCACGGGUGAGUAACGCGUAGGUGAUCUACCUUUGCGACCGGGAUAACCAGCCGAAAGGUUGGCUAAUACUGGAUAGAGCGCACUGAAUGUAAGGUUUGGUGCGGGAAAU